rnacentral:rRNA from 1 species
AUUGAACGCUGGCGGCAGGCUUAACACAUGCAAGUCGAGCGAGCGGCGGACGGGUGAGUAAUGUCUGGGAAACUGCCUGAUGGAGGGGGAUAACUACUGGAAACGGUAGCUAAUACCGCAUACCAUCAGAUGUGCCCAGAUGGGAUUAGCUAGUAGGUGGGGUAAUGGCUCACCUAGGCGACGAUCCCUAGCUGGUCUGCGAGGAUGACCGGCCAAACGGUAACGGGGACACGGUCCAGAGUCCUACGGGAGGCAGCAGGGGGGAAUAUUGCACAAUGGGCGCAAGCCUGAUGCAGCCAUGCCGCGUGUGUGCGGAGGGCCUUCGGGUUGUAAAGCACUUUCAGCGAGGAGGCGUUAGUCGCAGAAGAAGCACCGGCUAACUCCGUGCCAGCAGCCGCGGUAAUUC